GGAGAGGUGCCGGAGUGGUCGAACGGGGCAGACUCGAAAUCUGUUGUACGCCUUGGCGUACCGUGGGUUCGAAUCCCACCCUCUCCGCCA
rnacentral:tRNA from 1 species